GGCUCGGUAGCUAAGUUGGUAAAGCGCUCGUAUAGCAUUCAAGAGUCCUAGGUUCAACUCCCAGCCGAGUAC
rfam:Aedes aegypti strain Liverpool supercont1.491 genomic scaffold, whole genome shotgun sequence.